UCCUUUCAGGGACCCUGCUCCGUUAGUUG
rnacentral:piRNA from 1 species